UCAGGGUCAAAAUUCAACCUUAAACACACACAUAAAAAAGCAAGCUUCCUUGUUUGCUGUUCAGAGGCGGACUUCCACUGUAUGUCUCCUAUCGUCUGCCUGAGGGGGGAACAGCCAGUAGAUUGCUUUCCUACUACUUUUCACUUCCUAGGAAAGGCAGACAGCUGCUCCAGUCGCAGGCUGCCUCCCUGGUUCUCCAGCGACGUGCGUGAGCCUGGCUUCCCCAGGCCCAUGGCCCUUUUUGCCAAGUGCUUUCCCCUGGAAGGCAGAUGUGGCAGACAGCUGGCAGAGGGCAACGGGUGGUGCCACCCUGAGAGCAAAAAAAGGUGUCCAUCAUCUGGGGAGCAAACUUCUUAAAACUGAAGGUUACUGGCAUGGGAACAGGACUGUUUUACUUCAUGACCUCAUCGACACGUGCUGUGUAUUUCCUGCAGUCCAGAAGAUCUGACUGUUAAGAAGUAUUCGAUCCAAAAUAUAUUGAUUGAUUGUUUGUUCUUAGAUUGCCCUGUCGCAAGCAAUCCACCUGGUUAAGUACAGUGACCUUCCUUCUUCUGAAAUUACAAAUUUGACAAGGAACAACUCCUUUCCAAGAAUGUCUUUUCUGAUCAGUAUAUACUGUAGCUUUUAUUAUAUUCCAGGGUUUCUAAAAUGGAGAUAAUAUAUACAAUGGGAACACACUUAUGCCGUAGAAACCAUAUUAAUACCUGUUAAAGUCUUGCGUGGUACCAGAAUCUUAAAGGUAUUGGCAAACCUGUCAGUACAGUAGACCGAAAUAUCCUGGUUUCUCAGAUGAACAUGUUUGUUCAGAACUACUGUGCAAAGAACCCCUGUUAUCAGUUAUAUAUAUAAAAAAAAUACUGUACCCUUCCUUUAUUUUUAGUGGAAGAAACAUAUUUUCAUAGCAACAAGAUGAGUCUGGAAACACACACGUUUUUUUCCAAGAUUUAAAAAUCCAAACUGCUGAUAAAAAAUAUUGAGUGACUCUUGCAGUUCCAUCCCGCGAAGUGCUGUGCAUCUCUUAAAGGCACUUAGAAUUGCUGUUAUUUAAUUAGGUCUUAUUUACUUACUACAUUCCAGUAAUCCAUGGAUUGUAACAUGCCCUGUAGCAGAGUGAAACAACGGUCCACGUUUUAAAGAGCUGACAACCAAAGGUUGGAAAUACCUCCGAAGGCCCCCUGCUUCUGCCACUAAGGUAUUUCCAGCCUUCACUGGGCUUGAGCAGGGCAAAGGCCCACGCAGUUGUCUCCCGGUGGGCCUGCAUUAAGCAGCUGAGCUCUCAGUGCAGCUCCCCCCUUGGGGCGCUUUAAGUCCAGUAGUGUGUGCUUGUAUGUGAGACUGGUCCCAGUGAGGAAAAAACUCAUCAGUAGGUCGCUCUCUCUCAGAUUCCUAGAAGCAGCAGAAGGAAACCCACCAGCUGAUGAUCUACACUGCUGAUAAUGGAAGAGUAGAAACUAUCUGCAGCCCAGAGUCCUCCCAGCAUCCUGGGAUCCUUUGGCUUUCUUAAACACCUCUUUCCCUUGCUUAAUGGUGUUAGGAGUGUGACCUCAGGUGGCUUUAUUCUUAAAGUAAGAGUUGAUAAAAGACAGUGUCGAGGGAAGAGGAAGCAUUUGGAGAUUGCUUUCAUUCAGCAGGGCAUUGCUGUGUAUCUCUUGGCUGUGUCUCCUGUCUAUCUUGGUUCUCAAGUGGGUUUGACCUAGUGGCUUGCAUGCAAAGGUUUUUACUGCAUCAGCUUGUAGGUCCCUCAUUUGUAUUUAUUUAACUUUUGAGGAGAUCAUGGUCUGAGCCAGCCAUUCCCACCUUCACUGUUUUCAAAGGGCACUAGUAUCCAAGAAAGUAGAAAGGAAAAGCAGGGUGGGUUGGGGGUGAAGGAAGCUGGCUUAAGCUGCCCACGGCUCCCCCCACAGCCCUCCCCACCAAAGGUGGCAGUGGGAGCCCAUGGGACCCCCCACCCCAAAACCCCCAGCUUAGGGCCUCCCGUCACAAAGGCUGGUUUUGGGACAGGCUGAAGGUCAGAGCUCGGGAUCCAUUUGAUGCUGGGUUUGUUUCCAAAGCUGAAAAUGUUCCAAGUGCCUUCGCCCACUACAUGUGCACAGGUUGUCCCCUCCACUGAAGCACCCACAGAAACUCAGAAACAAGGCGUGUGUCCCCUGGCCGCCUGCCGCCCACGGAGGUGAGGGGCGAGGGUCAGGCCACCGUGGUGCUCUGCCGGUGCCCCGCCACUGGAAGGGAAAGAGGUGUUUGGUCCUAAAACUGGUUGGGUUUUACAAUUUCUACCUGAAUUUGGGAUAUCUUGGUUACUGCGGGGAAAAAAAAUUAAACAGAUAUCAGCCCAAAUGAAAGCGAAUCUUUUAAAUCCAAUUGCCUUUGUACUGGUUUCACUGGAAAACCGGAAUGCUAAACAUAAAAUCCACAGAGCUGCCUUCGACCUCUGCCUGUUAAAUCACGAUACUUUAAAAAAAAAAAAUAAAUCUGGAAUUCUGUUUAGUUUGGCGAAUCUCUUCUGUUUAUGUUUAUUUUUACUUAGCACUGCAUAUCAUUACAUGCAACUUUUGGCCCUGGUAGGGAUGAAGGGCGGGAAACCCUGGACAGAUUUAAACCAGAAAGAAAUGCAGGCUAACUAAUGUCUGACUGGUCCAGUGAGCUGGAGAUGUUGCCGUGUCCUGCUUUUACCAGAGAGAAAUCUGGCGUGAAAGCAGGAUCUUUGUUGCCUAGGAAUUAAGUUGUUGCCGCUGCUUAUUCCUUACCUGAACUGCUAAUCCUCUGUUUGUGCUAUGGCACAAAACAAAUUAUUUCUCGUAGACCAGAGGGCUCCCUUGUAACAAUUAAAGUCUAUUGUGUAUAAGUAUAAAUGGCACAUUGAUCGUUAAGGUAA